AGGAAGGUAGUGUAGUUAACACCUGCAUUAUUUGACGUUACCUACAGAAGAAGCACCGGCUAACUCCGUGCCAGCAGCCGCGGUAAUACGGAGGGUGCGAGCGUUAAUCGGAAUUACUGGGCGUAAAGCGCAUGCAGGCGGCCUGUUAAGUCAGAUGUGAAAGCCCGGGGCGUUAACCUCGGAAUUGCAUUUGUAAACUAGGCAGGCUAGAGUCUUGUAGAGGGGGGUAGGAAUUUCAGGUGUAGCGGUGAAAUGCGUAGAGAUCUGAAGGAAUACCAGUGGCGAAGGCGGCCCCCUCGGACAAAGACUGACGCUCAGAUGCGAAAGCGUGGGGAGCAAACAGGAUUAGAUACCCUGGUAG
rnacentral:rRNA from 1 species